GGAUAACCUACCCUUAGGACCGGGAUAACCUUGGGAAACUGAGGAUAAUACUGGAUAGGCAAUUAUUCCUGUAAUGGUUUUUUGUUUAAAUGUUUUUUCGCCUAAGGAUGGGUCUGCGGCCGAUUAGGUAGUUGGUUAGGUAAUGGCUUACCAAGCCUUUGAUCGGUACGGGUUGUGAGAGCAAGAGCCCGGAGAUGGAACCUGAGACAAGGUUCCAGGCCCUACGGGGUGCAGCAGGCGCGAAACCUCCGCAAUGUGAGAAAUCGCGACGGGGGGAUCCCAAGUGCCAUUCUUAACGGGAUGGCUUUUCUUUAGUGUAAAAAGCUUUUGGAAUAAGAGCUGGGCAAGACCGGUGCCAGCCGCCGCGGUAACACCGGCAGCUCUAGUGGUAGCAAUUUUUAUUGGGCCUAAAGCGUCCGUAGCCGGUUUAAUAAGUCUCUGGUGAAAUCCUGUAGCUUAACUGUGGGAAUUGCUGGAGAUACUAUUAGACUUGAGACCGGGAGAGGUUAGAGGUACUCCCAGGGUAGAGGUGAAAUUCUGUAAUCCUGGGAGGACCGCCUGUUGCGAAGGCGUCUAACUGGAACGGUUCUGACGGUGAGGGACGAAAGUUAGGGGCGCGAACCGGAUUAGAUACCCGGGUAGUCCUAACUGUAAACGAUGCGGACUUGGUGUUGGGGUGGCUUUGAGUUGCUUCAGUGCCGAAGGGAAGCUGUUAAGUCCGCCGCCUGGGAAGUACGGUCGCAAGACUGAAACUUA
rnacentral:rRNA from 1 species